CCGGCGCACGGGUGAGUAACACGUAUGCAACCUGCCUGCCACAGCCGGAUAAUCGGGAGAAAUUCCGUCUAAUACGGCAUAAUGCAUCGACGGGACAUCCUGUUGGUGCCAAAGGUUAAUUCCGGUGGCGGAUGGGCAUGCGUCGCAUUAGUUAGUUGGCGGUGUAACGGACCACCAAGACGACGAUGUGUAGGGGUUCUGAGAGGAAGGUCCCCCACACUGGUACUGAGACACGGACCAGACUCCUACGGAAGGCAGCAG
rnacentral:rRNA from 1 species